rnacentral:rRNA from 1 species
UAGGGAAUCUUCCGCAAUGGGCGAAAGCCUGACGGAGCAACGCCGCGUGAGUGAAGAAGGGUUUCGGUUCGUAAAGCUCUGUUGUUAGGGAAGAAUGAUUGUGUAGUAACUAUACACAGUAGAGACGGUACCUAACCAGAAAGCCACGGCUAACUACGUGCCAGCAGCCGCGGUAAUACGUAGGUGGCAAGCGUUGUCCGGAAUUAUUGGGCGUAAAGCGCGCGCAGGUGGUUUAAUAAGUCUGAUGUGAAAGCCCACGGCUCAACCGUGGAGGGUCAUUGGGAACUGUUAAACUUGAGUGCAGGAGAGAAAAGUGGAAUUCCUAGUGUAGCGGUGAAAUGCGUAGAGAUUAGGAGGAACACCAGUGGCGAAGGCGGCUUUUUGGCCUGUAACUGACACUGAGGCGCGAAAGCGUGGGGAGCAAACAGGAUUAGAUACCCUGGUAGUCCACGCCGUAAACGAUGAGUGCUAAGUGUUGGUCUCAUAAGAGAUUAGUGCUGCAGCUAACGCAUUAAGCACUCCGCCUGGGGAGUACGACCGCAAGGUUG